UACAGAGGUCCCAAGCGUUGUUCGGAUUCACUGGGCGUAAAGGGUGCGUAGGCGGUCGGGUAAGUCUGAUGUGAAAUCUCACAGCUUAACUGUGAAACUGCAUUGGAUACUAUCCGGCUCGAGGAAUGGAGGGGAGACUGGAAUACUUGGUGUAGCAGUGAAAUGCGUAGAUAUCGGAAGGAACGUCAAUGGCGAAGACAGCCACCUGGCAUCAUACUGACGCUGAGGCGCGAGAGCGUGGGGAGCGAACAGG
rnacentral:rRNA from 1 species